AGAGUAUGCUACGGGAGGGCAGCAUGGGGAAUAUUGCACAAUGGGGGAAACCCUGAUGCAGCGACGCCGAGUGAGGGAAGAAGGUUUUUCGGAUUGUAAACCUCUGUCCUUGGUGAAGAUAAUGACGGUAACCAAGGAGGAAGCUACGGCUAACUACGUGCC
rnacentral:rRNA from 1 species